rnacentral:rRNA from 1 species
CUCAGCUCGGAUUGGAGUCUGNAACCCGACUCCAUGAAGCUGGAUUCGCUAGUAAUCGCGCAUCAGCCACGGCGCGGUGAAUACGUUCCCGGGCCCUUGUACACACCGCCCGUCAAGCCAUGGAAGCCGGGGGUGCCUGAAGUGCGCUGCCGCAAGGAGCGCCCUAGGGUAAACCGGUGACUGGGGCUAAGUCGUAACAAGGUAGC